UUCGACGCUACGCGAGACUUACUGGCUUGAACUGCUGGUGGUAGAAGCCCGAAAGGGUAACGACCCGGAGCAAUCCGGGAGCCAGUAGAGGUGCUGCAUGGCUGUCGUCAGCUCGUGUCGUGAGAUGUUGGGUUAAGUCCCGCAACGAGCGCAACCUUACCCUUAGUUGCCAGCGGGUAAUGCCGGGCACUCGUAAGGGGACCGCCCCGGAUAACGGGGAGGAAGGCGGGAUGACGUCAAGUCAGCAUGGCCCUUAUGUCCAGGGCUACACACGUGCUACAAUGGGCGAUACAGAGGGAAGCAAGGCCGCAAGGUAGAGCUAAUCCCUAAAAGUCGUCCUCAGUUCGGAUUGCAGGCUGCAACUCGCCUGCAUGAAGUCGGAAUCGCUAGUAAUCGCGGAUCAGCACGCCGCGGUGAAUACGUUCCCGGGCCUU
rnacentral:rRNA from 1 species